rnacentral:rRNA from 1 species
UUCUUCGGAUGAAGGUCUGGUGACUGAGUGGCGGACGGGUGAGUAACGCGUGGGUAACCUGCCCUGUACAGGGGGAUAACAGUUGGAAACGGCUGCUAAUACCGCAUAAGCGCACGAGAGGACAUCCUCUUGUGUGAAAAACUCCGGUGGUACAGGAUGGGCCCGCGUCUGAUUAGCUGGUUGGCAGGGUAACGGCCUACCAAGGCGACGAUCAGUAGCCGGUCUGAGAGGAUGAACGGCCACAUUGGAACUGAGACACGGUCCAAACUCCUACGGGAGGCAGCAGUGGGGAAUAUUGCACAAUGGGGGAAACCCUGAUGCAGCAACGCCGCGUGAGUGAAGAAGUAUUUCGGUAUGUAAAGCUCUAUCAGCAGGGAAGAUAAUGACGGUACCUGACUAAGAAGCUCCGGCUAAAUACGUGCCAGCAGCCGCGGUAAUACGUAUGGAGCAAGCGUUAUCCGGAUUUACUGGGUGUAAAGGGUGCGUAGGUGGCAGUGCAAGUCAGAUGUGAAAGGCCGGGGCUCAACCCCGGAGCUGCAUUUGAAACUGCAUAGCUGGAGUACAGGAGAGGCAGGCGGAAUUCCUAGUGUAGCGGUGAAAUGCGUAGAUAUUAGGAGG